CGAAAGCCUGACGGAGCAAGACCGCGUGGGGGAGGAAUGCCUUAGGGUUGUAAACCCCUUUUAUCUGGGAAGAACAAAAUGACGGUACCAGAUGAAUAAGCCUCGGCUAACUCCGUGCCAGCAGCCGCGGUAAUACGGAGGAGGCAAGCGUUAUCCGGAAUGAUUGGGCGUAAAGCGUCCGCAGGUGGCAAUGUAAGUCUGCUGUCAAAACCCAGGGCUCAACUCUGGUCAGGCAGUGGAAACUACAUAGCUAGAGUUCGGUAGGGGCAAAGGGAAUUCCCGGUGUAGCGGUGAAAUGCGUAGAUUUCGGGAAGAACAUCGGUGGCGAAAGCGCCCUACUGGGCCAUAACUGACACUGAGGGACGAAAGCUAGGGUAGCG
rnacentral:rRNA from 1 species